AAAGGGAUAAAAGGAGCUGAUGAGGAGUUAGAGACUCGUAAAGCUUCUUUUAGGCUAAAUGGUCAGACGGGGAGAGUCAAACCACAGAGAGCCCCUUUAGGCCUUUCCAGAAACUAGGGGAACAGCAGCUCACCUACAGUUGGAAUCAGGACUUUCUAUAAACAGAGGGAAUCUUUCGUACCCUGACAUGCCCUGGUCAGGCACAUUGAGGAAGUCCAUGUUCCCCUGGUUGUGCUGGUUGUGGGCUGGGACUCGGGGGGCCCUCUGGGAACCUAUUUUUGGUGGAGCUGUG